AUUGAACGCUGGCGGCAGGCCUAACACAUGCAAGUCGAGCGCGGGGCGGACGGGUGUGUAAUGUCGGGACAACUGCCCGAUGGAGGGGGAUAACUACUGGAAACGGUAUCUAAUACCACAUACCAUCGGAUGUGCCCAGAUGGGAUUAGCUAGUAGGUGGGGUAACGGCUCACCUAGGCGACGAUCCCUAGCUGGUCUGAGAGGAUGACCAGCCACACUGGAACUGAGACACGGUCCAGACUCCUACGGGAGGCAGCAGUGGGGAAUAUUGCACAAUGGGCGCAAGCCUGAUGCAGCCAUGCCGCGUGUAUGAAGAAGGCCUUCGGGUUGUAAAGUACUUUCAGCGAGGAGGCGUUACUCGCAGAAGAAGCACCGGCUAACUCCGUGCCAGCAGCCGCGGUAAUUC
rnacentral:rRNA from 1 species